rnacentral:rRNA from 1 species
GACGAACGCUGGCGGCGUGCUUAACACAUGCAAGUCGAACGGAAAGGCCCUGCUUUUGUGGGGUGCUCGAGUGGCGAACGGGUGAGUAACACGUGAGUAACCUGCCCUUGACUUUGGGAUAACUUCAGGAAACUGGGGCUAAUACCGGAUAGGAGCUCCUGCUGCAUGGUGGGGGUUGGAAAGUUUCGGCGGUUGGGGAUGGACUCGCGGCUUAUCAGCUUGUUGGUGGGGUAGUGGCUUACCAAGGCUUUGACGGGUAGCCGGCCUGAGAGGGUGACCGGCCACAUUGGGAAUGAGAUACGGCCCAGACUCCUACGGGAGGCAGCAGUGGGGGAUGGUGCACAAUGGGCGGCAGCCUGAUGCAGCAACGCCGCGUGCGGGAUGACGGCCGUCGGGUUGUAAACCGCUUUCGCCUGUGACGAAGCGGGAGUGGCGGUAAUGGGUAAAGAAGCACCGGCUAAUUACGUG